rnacentral:misc_RNA from 1 species
CGAAAGCGUCUUUAACAGCGCAAAACCCACUGUGAACAUACCUGUUUGUUGCUUCGGCAGGCGGCCCCAGGGCGGGGCCAGCAGCCUGUAUUUUUUUUCAGGCGCCUGCCGGAGGCCACUUCAAACUCUUUUGUAUACGUACUGUCUGAGCCUAAAACAAAAUACGUU